rnacentral:rRNA from 1 species
GGAUGCGAUCAUACCAGCACUAAUGCACCGGAUCCCAUCAGAACUCCGAAGUUAAGCGUGCUUGGGCGAGAGAGUAGUACUAGGAUGGGUGACCCCCUGGGAAGUCCUCGUGUUGCAUCCC